rnacentral:tRNA from 1 species
GCCGGCGUGGCGCAAUUGGCAGCGCAUCCGACUUGUAAUCGGAAGGUUAGGGGUUCGAUUCCCCUCGCCGGCUCGA